GGGUGAGUAACACGUGGGUAACCUACCUAUAAGACUGGGAUAACUUCGGGAAACCGGAGCUAAUACCGGAUAACAUUUAGAACCGCAUGGUUCUAAAGUGAAAGAUGGUUUUGCUAUCACUUAUAGAUGGACCCGCGCCGUAUUAGCUAGUUGGUAAGGUAACGGCUUACCAAGGCGACGAUACGUAGCCGACCUGAGAGGGUGAUCGGCCACACUGGAACUGAGACACGGUCCAGACUCCUACGGGAGGCAGCAGUAGGGAAUCUUCCGCAAUGGGCGAAAGCCUGACGGAGCAACGCCGCGUGAGUGAUGAAGGGUUUCGGCUCGUAAAACUCUGUUAUUAGGGAAGAACAAAUGUGUAAGUAACUGUGCACAUCUUGACGGUACCUAAUCAGAAAGCCACGGCUAACUACGUGCCAGCAGCCGCGGUAAUACGUAGGUGGCAAGCGUUAUCCGGAAUUAUUGGGCGUAAAGCGCGCGUAGGCGGUUUCUUAAGUCUGAUGUGAAAGCCCACGGCUCAACCGUGGAGGGUCAUUGGAAACUGGGAAACUUGAGUGCAGAAGAGGAAAGUGGAAUUCCAUGUGUAGCGGUGAAAUGCGCAGAGAUAUGGAGGAACACCAGUGGCGAAGGCGACUUUCUGGUCUGUAACUGACGCUGAUGUGCGAAAGCGUGGGGAUCAAACAGGAUUAGAUACCCUGGUAGUCCACGCCGUAAACGAUGAGUGCUAAGUGUUAGGGGGUUUCCGCCCCUUAGUGCUGCAGCUAACGCAUUAAGCACUCCGCCUGGGGAGUACGACCGCAAGGUUGAAACUCAAAGGAAUUGACGGGGACCCGCACAAGCGGUGGAGCAUGUGGUUUAAUUCGAAGCAACGCGAAGAACCUUACCAAAUCUUGACAUCCUUUGAAAACUCUAGAGAUAGAGCCUUCCCCUUCGGGGGACAAAGUGACAGGUGGUGCAUGGUUGUCGUCAGCUCGUGUCGUGAGAUGUUGGGUUAAGUCCCGCAACGAGCGCAACCCUUAAGCUUAGUUGCCAUCAUUAAGUUGGGCACUCUAGGUUGACUGCCGGUGACAAACCGGAGGAAGGUGGGGAUGACGUCAAAUCAUCAUGCCCCUUAUGAUUUGGGCUACACACGUGCUACAAUGGACAAUACAAAGGGCAGCUAAACCGCGAGGUCAUGCAAAUCCCAUAAAGUUGUUCUCAGUUCGGAUUGUAGUCUGCAACUCG
rnacentral:rRNA from 1 species